AGUGAACGCUGGCGGUAGGCCUAAUACAUGCAAGUCGAACGACAGCACAGUAAGCUCUCGCCCCUACGGGUGGCGACGGGCGGACGGGUAAGGCAUAGAUCGGCUUCUUCUUUUUCGUGGGGGACAUCGUGGGGCAACUUCCGCUACUACCGCAUAUGAUCUACGGGUGAAAGCAGUGGAUCUUCGGACUUUGCGCGUUUCAUUUAGCCGGUGUCGGAUUAGCUAGUUGGCGUGGUAAAGGCCCACCAAGGCGACGAUCCGUAGCUGACCUGAGAGGAUGAUCGGCCACACUGGAACUGAGACACGGUCCAGACUCCUACGGGAGGCAGCAGUAGGGAAUAUUGGACAAUGGGCGCAAGCCUGAUCCAGCCAUGCCGCGUGAGUGAAGAAGGCCUUCGGGUUGUAAAGCCCUGUUGUUGGGGAAGAAAAACAGCAGGUUAAUACACGGAUGUUUUGACGGUACCCAAAGAGUAAGCAACGGCUAACUUCGUG
rnacentral:rRNA from 1 species